GGGUAGCUCAGUCAGUUAGAGCCUAGUGCUAAUAACGCCAAGGCUGCAGGUUCAAUCCCUGUUUGGGAUA